CCUACGGGAGGCAGCAGUGGGGGAUAUUGCACAAUGGGGGAAACCCUGAUGCAGCGACGCCGCGUGGGUGAAGAAGCGCCUCGGCGCGUACAGCCCUGUCAGCAGGGAAGAAAAUGACGGUACCUGAAGAAGAAGCCCCGGCUAACUACGUGCCAGCAGCCGCGGUAAUACGUAGGGGGCAAGCGUUAUCCGGAUUUACUGGGUGUAAAGGGGGCGCAGACGGCGAUGCAAGCCAGGAGUGAAAGCCCGGGGCCCAACCCCGGGACUGCUCUUGGAACUGCGUGGCUAGAGUGCAGGAGGGGCAGGCGGAAUUCCUGGUGUAGCGUGGAAAUGCGUAGAUAUCAGGAGGAACACCGGUGGCGAAGGCGGCCUGCUGGACUGCAACUGACGUUGAGGCCCGAAAGCGUGGGGAGCAAACAGGAUUAGAUACCCCAGUAGUC
rnacentral:rRNA from 1 species